AAGUCGUAACAAGGUUUCCGUAGGUGAACCUGCGGAAGGAUCAUUACCAAAUCCAAAUUACCCAAACCCCAUGUGAACUACUGUAUAGUCUGUCUUUGGGAGAAAAAGAGAUUGAAAGAAAAAUUAUUUUUCUGGAUUUUAAUUUUUCUCCCAAUAGAGUCCGGCGCAAUGUUAUUAUUGUGUCCAGAUUCGAAACCCCCAAAAAAAAACCACUUGAUUUUUUCUGUUGGAAUUUUUCUUUUAUUAAUCUUAAAUAAAAGACAACUUUUAACGGUGGAUCUCUUGGCUCGUG
rnacentral:misc_RNA from 1 species